GGGGAAUUGAAGGCUUCAGAGCAAAUGCAAUUGUUUGACAGAACUUAUUGUCGAAAUUGGCAAAGACAUUGCUGCUAUAAACCUAGGAUAUAAAUUUUCAAAAUUCUUAAAGAAUUGAACUUAUGAGGAAUUGUCUAUAAAGGGCAAUAACACCUAAAGGGGUUAAUUGACCAUUUUGGUCAUGCUGAAUUAUUUGUAGAUCUUACUUUACUGUUAACAGUUUA
rnacentral:lncRNA from 1 species